GGAUAAUUUCCUGAUACAGAAGCCAGGGAACAUAUAUUUAAUUUAAACAAAGAAGCAGAUACCCGGGGUUUUGAAAGUCCGGAGUAACAUUUACAUUAAUGGAAAGUACUACUUGAACAUGGAAGCACUAACGUGUGGGUAAGGAAUAGUCAAGAUGUCUGCCAAGAGAGAUUCUAGCUGCUUUGCAGGCACCCAAGCCUCAGAGCCCUCAUCCAGUGGCUGAUGGAAGCCGAGGCAGACACCCACAGAUUCACACUGAACUGAACUCUGGAACUUAGUUGCAGAGAGAGAGGAAUGAAGAUCAAAGGGGUCAGUACCAGGCGGUGAAACCCACAGGAACAGCUGGCCUGUACAGGUGGAGCACAUGGACCCCAGACUGCUGUCUGGGUGGCCAGUACAGGACUGAUCCAGACCCCUGAACAUGGAUGUCAAUUAGGAGGCCUCUGCACUCUAG
rnacentral:lncRNA from 1 species